rnacentral:rRNA from 1 species
UCAGUGUGACCGAUAGUGGAUAGUACCGUGAGGGAAUGGUGAAAAGUACCCCGGGAGGGGAGUGAAAUAGUUCCUGAAACCAUGUGCUUACAAUCCGUCAGAGCACUUUUUGUGUGUGAUGGCGUGCCUUUUGAAGAAUGAGCCUGCGAGUCAGCGGCAUGUCGCGAGGUUAACCCGUGUGGGGUAGCCGUAGGGAAACCGAAUCCUAAUGGGGUGUCAAGUGGCAUGUCCUGGACCCGAAGCGGGGUGAUCUACCCAUGGCCAGUGUGAAGCAGCAGUAAGAUGCUGUGGAGGCGCGAACCCACGUAGGUUGAAAACUGCGGGGAUGAGCUGUGGGUAGGGGUGAAAGGCCAAUCAAACUCCGUGAUAGCUGGUUCUCCCCGAAAUGCAUUUAGGUGCAGCGUCGCAUUAGCUUGGUGGAGGUAGAGCUACUGGUUGGUUGAGCGGGACUACAAUCUUAGCAAUGUCAGCCAAACUCCGAAUGCCAUUAAUGUGUUGUGCGGCAGUGAGACUGUGGGGGAUAAGCUUCAUAGUCGAGAGGGAAACAGCCCAGAUCGCCGGUUAAGGCCCCUAAGGGUGUGCUAAGUGGAAAAGGAUGUGGGAUCGCGAAGACAGCCAGGAGGUUGGCUUAGAAGCAGCCAUCCUUGAAAGAGUGCGUAAUAGCUCACUGGUCGAGUGGUUCUGCGCCGACAAUGUAGUGGGGCUCAAGCACACCGCCGAAGCCGCGGCAAUAAUAUUUUGUUAUUGGGUAGGGGAGCGUCGUGCACGUGUUGAAGCGUUACCGUGAGGAGGCGUGGAGUGUGUGCGAGUGAGAAUGCAGGCAUGAGUAACGAAUUGGAAGGUGAGAAUCCUUCCCGCCGGAUGACUAAGGGUUCCUGGGUCAAGUUCGUCUUCCCAGGGUGAGUCGGGACCUAAGGCGAGGCCGACAGGCGUAGUCGAUGGAUAACCAGUUGAUAUUCUGGUACCCGAGUAUAUGCGCCCCUGAUAAAGCACUGAUACUAACCACCGUAAGCUGUUGUGAUUGGCCUUCGGGUUAACAUGGUGGCAAGCCGUGGGGCCUGAUGUGUGGUUCAAGCGAUGGGGUGACACAGUGGGGUAGCCAUGCCGCUUAGUGGAUUGUUGGUGUAAGCGUGUAGGUGAUGGUGUAGGUAAAUCCGCACUUGUUAGCUGAGACGUGAUGCGUAGCCUUAAUUGGUGAAGUUGGUGAUCCCGUGCUGUCGAGAAAAGCCUCUAGCGAUGUAUAUACUCGGCCCGUACCCCAAACCGACACAGGUAGUCAGGUUGAAAAUACUAAGGCGUUCGGGUGAACUGUGGUUAAGGAACUCGGCAAAAUGCCCCCGUAACUUCGGG